UACGGGGGGGGCAAGCGUUGUUCGGAAUUACUGGGCGUAAAGGGCGCGUAGGCUGCCUUCUAAGUCGGACGUGAAAUCCCUCGGCUCAACCGAGGAACUGCGUCCGAUACUGAAAGGCUUGAAUCCGGGAGAGGGAUGUGGAAUUCCAGGUGUAGCGGUGAAAUGCGUAGAUAUCUGGAGGAACACCGGUGGCGAAGGCGGCAUCCUGGACCGGCAUUGACGCUGAGGCGCGAAAGCUAGGGGAGCAAACGGG
rnacentral:rRNA from 1 species